rnacentral:rRNA from 1 species
UACAGAGGGUGCGAGCGUUGUCCGGAAUCACUGGGCGUAAAGGGCGCGUAGGCGGCCUGAUAAGUAGGGGGUGAAAUCUUGCGGCUCAACUGCAAGGCUGCCUCCUAAACUGUCAGGCUUGAGCACAGUAGAGGCAGGUGGAAUUCCCGGUGUAGCGGUGGAAUGCGUAGAGAUCGGGAAGAACAUCGGUGGCGAAGGCGGCCUGCUGGGCUGUUGCUGACGCUGAGGCGCGACAGCGUGGGGAGCAAAC